CCCCACGCCUCGCCUGGGCAGCAGCUCCCUUGUUGGGAGGCCCAGGCCAGCAGAGCAGCCCCUUCUGGAAUGCUCCUGGUCACUGGGGUGGAGGGAAGAGAGAGGUCAGCAAAGCAAGCACCAGCUCCAGAGUGAGGUUUGGCAGAGUGGGCUCCGAGGCCUGGCCGCCCGGGGACGAUGAAACAAUCAUGGCUCUACUUCUCCAGGACAUGGGGAAAUCAACAGGAAGUUCUCACCCAUCUCAGUGGUCCUGCUGUCGGAGCACGGCUGCCUUCCUGUCACUACGUCUGUCCCCAGAGAGAAUACAGCUGCAUAGGAUGUUCUCGAAUUAAAGAGAGUUCCUUCUGCGCCUAAAGGGCAAGUAGGCUUAUUGAUCAGGGGUGGAAGUUAAAAUCUCAUUGGAUGAUUUUUCAGCGUCUUUUCUUAAGUUGCCUUGUAUGUAUUUUUCUAACUCCUUAAUACCAUGAAGGAGUGGGCUUAAACACGGGGAUGCACUGGCUCACGGUCUCGAGGCCGGGAGGCGUCCAGAUCCAGGCGUCCUCGAGGGGAUGCUCUCUUCCCAAAGACGUGGCGCCCUGGGGCUGGCUGCGGCCGUCCUCCGUCCUCGGUUUCCGUCACUGGUGAUGCACAUGGCGGCCUCUCCUGCUCCUCUUCCGGGGCCCUGACUUCCAGCCCCUCUCGCCACCUUCCCCACGGGCCCCAGCAACAGGCAAGGCCCGUCCUGGCUGAGCCGGGCCACACCGUAACCGUCACCUCAUCAGCGGGCCCCGCUCACGGGCGCACACCCGCAGGAGCCGACUGAGAGCCAGGACAUGUUUUUCUGGGGUAAAUAAGCCCCAAACUACCACA